rnacentral:lncRNA from 1 species
CAAAGAAAGAGCUGCGUGGGGCCCGGGCGAGGCGCCGGCAGCGAGCGCGGAGCGGAGCAGAGCCAUGGGGGCGGCCGGCCGGGAGGAGAUGGUGUACGCGUGGCAGUGUUUAUGUGAGAGAUCAAAACAGAGCCAAGCCCAUCCAGGGAAAAAUGGCGACUCCCGGGAUGGGGGAGCCGAGCCACGGGGUUGGCUGCCGUUUGGAUGGAUGGGACACGGGACAAGCAUUGUGGGGAUGCGGUGCGUCGGUUACCUGUUAUUCGGGGACUUUCUGGCCAUGGAGCCUGCCUUUGUUUUCUUUCUGGAAUAGUCACUAUCGAAGGGUAACACUGAUGCAUAGCCAUGUUCUGCUUCUCGGUCUCUUCUCUCCAAGUACUCGGCCGCCUCCAGGAGAAUUAACAGAGAGUUCAACUCCAUGGCUGCGUGUGAGAGGAGAGGAGAGCAGAGCCGAGCUAUGCCGAGCCGCGCUAUGCCGAGCUGAGCCGAGCCGUGCCGAGCUGAGCCCCCCGCAGCCCGGCCACUCCGCUCCGCGCCGCGCCCCGCGCCGAGUUCACGCGCGGGGGACUUCCAAGUCCCCAGUUAUAAGGCACCUCUCUCAACCUACAUUUGACACACAGUCGACAGGCAGCCCUCGCGGCCAAUAGGAAAACGGGGUUCAGUGAAGGGGCGGGACGAGGCGCCUCCAUGGGGCCAACCGGCG